GAUGAACGCUAGCGACAGGCCUAACACAUGCAAGUCGAGGGGCAGCACAUGAGUAGCAAUACGAUGGUGGCGACCGGCGCACGGGUGAGUAACACGUAUGCAACCUGCCUUCUACUAUGGGAUAACCCGUUGAAAGACGGACUAAUACCGUAUAAUACAGGGGCUCCGCAUGGAGAUAUUUGUUAAAGAUUUAUUGGUAGAAGAUGGGCAUGCGUAUGGUUAGAUAGUUGGUGAGGUAACGGCUCACCAAGUCAACGAUCAUUAGGGGUUCUGAGAGGAAGGUCCCUCAGACGGGGACGGGGACACGGACCAGACUCCUACGGGAGGAAGCAGUGAGGAAUAUUGGUCAAUGGACGAGAGUCUGAACCAGCCAAGUCGCGUGAAGGAAGACGGUUCUAUGAAUUGUAAACUUCUUUUGUGCAGGAAUAAAGUGGGUUACGUGUAACCUUUUGUAUGUACUGUACGAAUAAGGACCGGCUAACUCCGUGCCAGCCGCCGCCGUAA
rnacentral:rRNA from 1 species